AAAAUUAGAAGAUUUUGCUACAGCUAAAGACAUAGCCACUAAACUAGAAAGACAGCCAACCAUAUAGGAAAGGAUCUUCACCAGUACAGCAACAGACAAAGGCCUAAUAUUCGUCAUCUACAAAGAAUUCAAGAAACGAACCCCCUCCAAUCCCAGUAAACCAAUUAUUAAAUGGGCAAAGGAGCUAAAGAGAAACUUCACAGGAGAAGAGAUAAAAAUGGCAAAGAAACAUAUGAGGAAAUGUUUAACAUCCCUGGCAGUAAAGGAAAUGCAAAU